CAGCCGCCGCGGGAAAACGGAGGGUGCAAGCGCUAAUCGGAAUUACUGGGCGUAAAGCGCACGCAGGCGGUCUGUCAAGUCAGAUGUGAAAUCCCCGGGCUUAACCUGGGAACUGCAUUUGAAACUGGCAGGCUAGAGUCUUGUAGAGGGGGGUAGAAUUCCAGGUGUAGCGGUGAAAUGCGUAGAGAUCUGGAGGAAUACCGGUGGCGAAGGCGGCCCCCUGGACAAAGACUGACGCUCAGGUGCGAAAGCGUGGGGAGCAAACAGGAUUAGAUACCCCUGUAGUCCCUGUCUCUUAUAC
rnacentral:rRNA from 1 species